rnacentral:rRNA from 1 species
GACGAACGCUGGCGGCGUGCUUAACACAUGCAAGUCGAACGGAAAGGCCCUGCUUUUGUGGGGUGCUCGAGUGGCGAACGGGUGAGUAACACGUGAGUAACCUGCCCUUGACUUUGGGAUAACUUCAGGAAACUGGGGCUAAUACCGGAUAGGAGCUCCUGCUGCAUGGUGGGGGUUGGAAAGUUUCGGCGGUUGGGGAUGGACUCGCGGCUUAUCAGCUUGUUGGUGGGGUAGUGGCUUACCAAGGCUUUGACGGGUAGCCGGCCUGAGAGGGUGAACGGCCACAUUGGGACUGAGAUACGGCGCAGACGCCUACGGGAGGCAGCAGUGGGGAAUAUUGCACAAUGGGCGGAAGCCUGAUGCAGCAACGCCGCGUGCGGGAUGACGGCCUUCGGGUUGUAAACCGCUUUCGCCUGUGACGAAGCGUGAGUGACGGUAAUGGGUAAAGAAGCACCGGCUAACUACGUG